rnacentral:rRNA from 1 species
GACAGAGGGUGCAAACGUUGUUCGGAAUACUGGGCGUAAAGCGUGUGUAGGCGGCUACGAUAAGUCGGAUGUGAAAGCCCCGGGCUCAACCCGGGAAGUGCACUCGAUACUGCGUAGCUUGAGUCUCGGAGAGGUUGGUGGAAUUCUCGGUGUAGAGGUGAAAUUCGUAGAUAUCGAGAGGAACACCGGUGGCGAAGGCGGCCAACUGGACGAAGACUGACGCUGAGACACGAAAGCGUGGGGAGCAAACAGG